CAUGAACCUUGAUGUCAAAAGUUUGUUUCUUACCCAUCCAAAAGCGUUUUUCUUUUUUUUUUUUUCGUUAACUUGCGUCUCCUUAACUGACAACCCUCCACAAGGAGAAAAUGAUAACCUCGUUUUGUUUCCCUCACCAUCAAGACCUGUAACUUAACUCCACCGAGAGCCACUAGUCAUAUAAAACGCUUAUGAAUUAUUAAUUGGGAACUAUAUGGAUAACGCCUCAUUAUUUAUUGAAGUUAAGCUCACUGUAAACCCCCAAAUGACUGCAUAUAAAAUACAAUGAACUGCUUAAAAGCCCAGAAGAUAAUAAUCCAAAUCUAAUGGAGAGGAAGGGAAAAUAAUUCAUUAAAAUACUUGAAAAUUUGAUAUAUAUAGAGGGAAAAUUGGACCACCUGUUUCUUCAAGUCAUGUUGCCUUUUGUGAAUAAUGGUCCAAUUAGAGAAUAAUAAUACAUCUCUCGUUCGAAGAGCCAGACAACAGAGAAGUGGAG